UUUUUUGUCUGGGAGUAUGACGCUGCUUCUCUUUUCUCUCUUCCGGCCUUUCCUCAUUUUCACUUCAGGCUGGUUGCUUAUGAGACGCCCAUUUUCUUCUGACACAGAUUCGGUUGCCUUGGGUGACAUGACUUCAAGUUCAAAGCUACCAAUGUAAAUGGAAACAAAUUAAUUAACUUAAUUAAUCUGCCCACAGUACUGCCGUUCCCUUGCAGAGGUUCUUUGCAAUAUGGCAAAUCUAAUGACAUCAGGCAGUUCCAGAGGGAAAGCAGGAAUUGGAAGUCCUAGCAGCUGAAAACUAGUUAGGGAAAACAUUACAACUACCAAGUCUUUUCUUUUUAGUGCUGGCAUUCAUUCCUUAGUCAGGAAAGAGAUGAAAACAGGAAUUGACAACCAAAGGAGAAAACUCAUGCCAGGAAGCUGGCCCAUAACUAACCUUUCUACAGGAAUCUUGUUUGGUGUACCGCAGUCAGAAUUCAUGGAGGACAUUGAAAUAAUGGACAUCUGACGAUACGAUCUCAGCAUAGAUUUUGGUCGACCUAACCGCCUGUCAUCAAAAUCCGGCUUAGAGA